GACCCAGUGGUGGAGUGGUAACACACUUGUUAAAACCUUAUUGUGCCAACCCAAAUAUACUGUUCAAUUCAGAGCUGGGGCA